UACACUCCUGCGGGAGGCAGCAGUGAGGAAUAUUGGACAAUGGGUGGAAGCCUGAUCCAGCCAUCCCGCGUGCAGGAAGACGGCCCUAUGGGUUGUAAACUGCUUUUAUCUGGGGAUAAACCUACUUACGUGUAAGUAGCUGAAGGUACCAGAAGAAUAAGCACCGGCUAACUCCGUGCCAGCAGCCGCGGUAAUACGGAGGGUGCAAGCGUUAUCCGGAUUUAUUGGGUUUAAAGGGUCCGUAGGCGGACUGAUAAGUCAGUGGUGAAAUCCGACAGCUUAACUGUCGAACUGCCAUUGAUACUGUUAGUCUUGAGUAAGGUUGAAGUGGCUGGAAUAAGUAGUGUAGCGGUGAAAUGCAUAGAUAUUACUUAGAACACCAAUUGCGAAGGCAGGUCACUAAGUCUUAACUGACGCUGAUGGACGAAAGCGUGGGGAGCGAACAGGAUUAGAAACCCUUGUAGUCC
rnacentral:rRNA from 1 species